GGGACAAGUCCCUUGGAAAAGGGCAGCAUAGAGGGUGAUACUCCCGUCUCUGCUCAGAUUGUCUGUGUGUACGAUACGCUUUCUUUGAGUCGAGUUGUUUGGGAAUACAGCUCAAAGUAGGUGGUAAAUUCCAUCUAAAGCUAAAUAUUGGUGCGAGACCGAUAGCGAACAAGUACCGUGAGGGAAAGAUGAAAAGAACUUUGAAAAGAGAGUUAAAGAGUACCUGAAACUGUUGAAAGGGAACCGUAACAUUUCCAGUGUUGUAUCCUGUGCAUAUUUCAUUAGCGGAGUAAUUUGCUGGUGCCCUGUGCAUGGGUGUGACGUCAGGGUCAGUUUGUAUGCUGCGGGAGAUGGUUAGUAAGGAGGUGCGUCACUUCGGUGAAAGUUAUACCUUGCUAUCUAGUAGCCGUGGUUGAGACUGAGGUGCCUACAACAUGCCUUGAGGUUCGGUGUUGUCUCGUUGUGGUGACUGCUUGGAUAGCUUGCUAUGUCUGUGGUUAAUUAUGGCGAUUGAUGAUGUCGAUAACUUCUGCUGUUCGGGACUCUGGCGAAAUGGAGUGUUACGACCCGUCUUGAAACACGGACCAAGGAGUCUAACAUGUGUGCAAGUAUUAGGGCGUGGAAACCCAAAUGCGUAAUGAAAGUAAAUGGUGCUUAUGCAUCUGUGGUAGGAAAGGGCUGUAAUGGUCCUGGCACUAUCGACCGAUCAUGAACCUACGGGUGAAAGAUUUGAGUAUGAGCAUAUAUGUUGGUACCCGAAAGAUGGUGAACUAUGCCUGAAUAGGGUGAAGCCAGGGGAAACUCUGGUGGAAGCUCGUAGCGAUUCUGACGUGCAAAUCGAUCGUCAAAUUUGGGUAUAGGGGCGAAAGACUAAUCGAACCAUCUAGUAGCUGGUUCCCUCCGAAAUUUCCCUCAGGAUAGCAGCAACUUUUUACGAUAG
rnacentral:rRNA from 1 species